rnacentral:rRNA from 1 species
ACGACCAUAGGGUGUGGAGAACAGGGCUUCCCGUCCGCUCAGCCGUACUUAAGCCACACGCCGGUGAGUUAGUAGUUGGGUGGGUGACCACCAGCGAAUCCUCACUGUUGUAUGUU